UCCUACGGGAGGCAGCAGUAGGGAAUCUUCCGCAAUGGACGAAAGUCUGACGGAGCAACGCCGCGUGAGUGAUGAAGGCUUUCGGGUCGUAAAACUCUGUUGUUAGGGAAGAACAAGUGCUAGUUGAAUAAGCUGGCACCUUGACGGUACCUAACCAGAAAGCCACGGCUAACUACGUGCCAGCAGCCGCGGUAAUACGUAGGUGGCAAGCGUUAUCCGGAAUUAUUGGGCGUAAAGCGCGCGCAGGUGGUUUCUUAAGUCUGAUGUGAAAGCCCACGGCUCAACCGUGGAGGGUCAUUGGAAACUGGGAGACUUGAGUGCAGAAGAGGAAAGUGGAAUUCCAUGUGUAGCGGUGAAAUGCGUAGAGAUAUGGAGGAACACCAGUGGCGAAGGCGACUUUCUGGUCUGUAACUGACACUGAGGCGCGAAAGCGUGGGGAGCGAACAGGAUUAGAUACCCUGGUAGUCCACGCCGUAAACGAUGAGUGCUAAGUGUUAGAGGGUUUCCGCCCUUUAGUGCUGAAGUUAACGCAUUAAGCACUCCGCCUGGGGAGUACGGCCGCAAGGCUGAAACUCAAAUGAAUUGACGGA
rnacentral:rRNA from 1 species